UACAGAGGUCUCAAGCGUUGUUCGGAUUCAUUGGGCGUAAAGGGUGCGUAGGCGGCGCGGUAAGUCGGGUGUGAAAUCUCGGGGCUUAACUCCGAAACUGCAUUCGAUACUGCCGUGCUUGAGGACUGGAGAGGAGACUGGAAUUUACGGUGUAGCGGUGAAAUGCGUAGAUAUCGUAAGGAAGACCAGUGGCGAAGGCGGGUCUCUGGACAACUCCUGACACUGAGGCACGAAAGCUAGGGGAGCAAACAGG
rnacentral:rRNA from 1 species